GUUACUUUGGCAGAAUAGUGUAUUGAAUUUAGAAUUCAAAAAUGUAAUUUAAUUACAGGUAAUA
rnacentral:tRNA from 2 species